rnacentral:rRNA from 1 species
CCGUCCUACGGGACGCAGCAGUGGGGAAUAUUGGGCAAUGGGCGCAAGCCUGACCCAGCAACGCCGCGUGAAGGAAGAAGGCUUUCGGGUUGUAAACUUCUUUUCUUAGGGACGAAGCAAGUGACGGUACCUGAGGAAUAAGCCACGGCUAACUACGUGCCAGCAGCCGCGGUAAUACGUAGGUGGCAAGCGUUAUCCGGAUUUACUGUGUGUAAAGGGCGUGUAGGCGGGAAAGCAAGUCAGAUUUGAAAACCACGGGGUCAA